rnacentral:misc_RNA from 1 species
GAUGAAGAACGUAGCGAAAUGCGAUACGUAGUGUGAAUUGCAGAAUUCAGUGAAUCAUCGAAUCUUUGAACGCACAUUGCACCUCUCGGUAUUCCGGGAGGUAUGCCUGUUCGAGCGUCAUUUGUACCCUCAAGCUCUGCUUGGUGUUGGGUGUUUGUUCCGCCUCUGUGUGUGAACUCGCCUCAAAACAAUUGGCAGCCGGCGUACUUGUUUCGGAGCGCAGCACAUUUUGCGAUCCAGAUCAACGUACAGCGGCAUCCAAGAAGCCUUAUUUAACGCUCUUGACCUCGGAUCAGGUAGGGAUACCCGCUGAACUUAAGCAUAUCAAUAAGCGGAGGGA